GACUACACUCAUACCACGCUGAAUGUACCUGAUCUCAUCUAAUCUUGGAAGCUGAACAGGUUUGGUUAUUACUUGAAUAGGAGAAAACAUUCUUUUGAAAAGGGGUCC
rnacentral:rRNA from 1 species